rnacentral:rRNA from 1 species
GAUGAACGCUAGCUACAGGCUUAACACAUGCAAGUCGCGGGACCGGCGCACGGGUGAGUCAAGCGUAUCCAACCUGCCCUUCACCACGGGAUACCCCGGCGAAAGUCGGACUAAUACCGUAUGGUGAAGGAUGGGGAUGCGUCGGAUUCUCUUGACGGCGGGGUAACGGCCCACCGUGGCUACGAACGGUAGGGGUUCUGAGAGGAAGGUCCCCCACACUGGAACUGAGACACGGUCCAGACGCCUACGGGAGGCAGCAGUUAGGAAUAUUGGUCAAUGGGCGUAAGCCUGAACCAGCCAAGUAGCGGGCAGGACGACGGCCUAUGGGUUGUAAACUGCUUUUAUGCGGGGAUAGGUACCGCAUGAAUAAGGACCGGCUAAUUCCGUGCCAGCCGCCGCGGUAAUUC